UUCUGCUUUUUAUCUUGUUAACAACUGCUGCUAACAAUUCAAAAUCUCUCGCAAAGAUGGACGACAAACAUAAUCCAGAAUUGAAUGUGAUGGAACUCAUUAAGAAGUACUACUUACCGAUUUUCUUGUGUCUUUCUUUGCUGGGCAACAGUCUAUCCGUGUGUGUGCUCUUUUGCACAAAACUACGUUACAAGUCAUCCAGCAUCUACUUGGGUGCACUUGCGAUGAGCGACACUGGAAUGUUGGUGAUAACAUUCAUACAGUGGUUUGUGGUCAUGAAAAUUAUAACUGUGGACUAUUGGUUGCUAGUCCUAUUGAAUGGUUCGAUUUAUUUAUUUUCUUUUCUGAGUGUGUGGAUAGUAGUGGUCUUUACAGUUCAACGAUAUAUAGUAGUCCAGUGGCCGCUACUUUGUUGCUCCUUGUGCACAGUUACUCGAGCGAAAAACAUAGUAAUUGGACUAGCGGGAUUAGCAGUUUUACUCUCUAUCCCAGUGUUUAUUUUACUAUACAUAAUUUACACAAAUUCAGAUGCAGAUGAGGAAGAAAUGUUUCACUGGUCAAAGAUUUCUUAUUUCAAUGAUACUAUUAUCAAUGAUACUAUUAUAACGACUUACUUACCUGCAACAAUCCCAUCGUUUAUUAUGCUAAACAUAAGUUACACAAUUUUGUAUGUAGAUGAGAACUUAAUGUACUGGUGGUGGAUUUUAAGUAUCAUUGAUGCUAUUAUAACGUGUUUCUUACCUGCAACAACGAUAGUGAUUUUUAAUGUUCUAAUAGUAUACAACAUUCGCAAGCAAAAUCGUAUCCGAAAAGACAUGAUUUCAAGUUUCUUUGCUUCCAAUAAGAACACACAAAGUUCUGACAAUGAAGCGUCCCACAUUGAAGUCACAAAAAUGCUUGUUAUCAUUUCAACGUUAUUCAUAUGUUUGAAUGUACCUACAUACGUCGUUGAUCUUUGUGACUACUAUGGCAUCUGUGGUACAUAUUGUGUCAUAAUUGAGUACAUCGUCGAAUUAUUAUGGCUAGCAAAUUGUGGAAUAAACGUUGUUUUGUAUUGUGCAACUGGGAAGAAUUUUCGCAAAGAAUUGAUCCGCAUGUUUACGAAAUUCAGAUACUAGAAGAAAUGAAAAUAUGGAGAUGGAAAAUUUCAAUGAUUAGUGCGAUUAUUACUCAAUCAUGCAAUUAUAAGAUAAUUUAUGAUUCAAUUCCAUAACUUACUGUAUUCGUCAGUAGUUGCAUUUAGACAGCAAAUUUUGCAAUAAAUUUUGUUGUUUAUUAUACAACUUGAAAGAAAUUUCGCAAACAAUUAAUCCAGAUGUUUACGAAAUAUUCGGACAUUAGCAGAAACGUAAAGACAUCAAAGAGAUUAUAAAAAUAAAAGAUUAUAACGAGUGGUGUGAUUAAUACUAUCAUGCAAUUACAAUUGUGAUAAAAUACGACGGUAGAAUUAUCGUAUUAUAUUUAACUUUUCAAAACAA